UCGGAUUGCAGCCUGCAACUCGGCUGCAUGAAGCCGGAAUCGCUAGUAAUCGCGGAUCAGAAUGCCGCGGUGAAUACGUUCCCGGGUCUUGUACACACCGCCCGUCACACCAUGGGAGUCGGAAAUGCCCGAAGUCGGUGACCUAACGAAAGAAGGAGCCGCCGAAGGCAGGUCCGGUAACUGGGGUGAAGUCGUAACAAGGUAAC
rnacentral:rRNA from 1 species